rnacentral:rRNA from 1 species
UACGUAUUUCUCAAUCUUUAUCCGGAAUUAUUGGGCGUAAAGAGCUCGUAGGCGGUUUGUCGCGUCUGCCGUGAAAGUCCGGGGCUCAACUCCGGAUCUGCGGUGGGUACGGGCAGACUAGAGUGAUGUAGGGGAGACUGGAAUUCCUGGUGUAGCGGUGAAAUGCGCAGAUAUCAGGAGGAACACCGAUGGCGAAGGCAGGUCUCUGGGCAUUAACUGACGCUGAGGAGCGAAAGCAUGGGGAGCGAACAGGAUUAGAUAACCUGGUUGUCC